rnacentral:rRNA from 1 species
AUGAACGCUGGCGGCGUGCCUAAUACAUGCAAGUCGAGCGAACAGACGAGGAGCUUGCUCCUCUGACGUUAGCGGCGGACGGGUGAGUAACACGUGGAUAACCUACCUAUAAGACUGGGAUAACUUCGGGAAACCGGAGCUAAUACCGGAUAACAUGUUGAACCGCAUGGUUCAACAGUGAAAGACGGUCUUGCUGUCACUUAUAGAUGGAUCCGCGCCGCAUUAGCUAGUUGGUAAGGUAACGGCUUACCAAGGCAACGAUGCGUAGCCGACCUGAGAGGGUGAUCGGCCACACUGGAACUGAGACACGGUCCAGACUCCUACGGGAGGCAGCAGUAGGGAAUCUUCCGCAAUGGGCGAAAGCCUGACGGAGCAACGCCGCGUGAGUGAAGAAGGUCUUCGGAUCGUAAAACUCUGUUAUUAGGGAAGAACAAAUGUGUAAGUAACUAUGCACGUCUUGACGGUACCUAAUCAGAGAGCCACGGCUAACUACGUG